UCUCCGUUACCGGAGCGGUUUCGAGUGACACUUGUAACACUCAAUAGGGGUUGCGCUCGUUAUUCCACUUAAGGAAACACUUCACAGCACGAGCUGACGACAGCCAUGCAACACCUGUCAUCCGAUUCUUCUUACGAAGCACUCCGCUGUUUCCAGCAGAUUCCGGAGAUGUCAAGCCCUGGUAAGGUUCUUCGUGUACCGUCGAAUUGAACCACAUGUUCCACCGCUUGUGCGGGCCCCCGCCUAUUCCUUUAGGUUUUAAUCUUGCGAUCGUAGUCCCCAGGCGGCUCGCUUAACGCGUGAGCUUCGCUUCCCACAGGGUCGAUACUGCAAAAAGCUAGCGAGCAUCGUUUACAGCGUGGACUAC
rnacentral:misc_RNA from 1 species